rnacentral:misc_RNA from 1 species
ACCUGUCCAAUAUUUAACUUUAAUUAUAAGAUAUGCCGAUUUUUGGACUGUGGAUCAACUACCCCUACUAUUCCGGUAAGUUCUCGGUUUGGAUCAGAACUCAGAUGAACUGAAGUCAGACAGUUAAUAAACCUUAGAGGUUUGGAGAGUAGAAGUCACCAUGUCUGUACAAGAGUCUGAGGAUACCUUUUCAGAUAUCCAGACUUACUUCACAGCUGAGGAAUGGGCAAAGAUCAGCAAUUAUGAAAGAAUCUGUAUCAAGAAUGUCAAAGAAAACUAUGAGAUAAUGAUGAAAGCUGGAUUACAGGCCUCUCUACCCAUGUUCAUGCAACGAGAGAAUGGAAUAAUGGAUUCAGGAUGGAUACAGAUCAAAGAAGAAAUUAAGAAUGAGGAAGAAGAAAGUGAUAUCAAGAGUGAAGAAGUGUCUCUCGAUGUUCUGGUUACGAAUCAAGAACAAGGUCAGACGGAGAAGAAACCAUCAUAUGAAGAUAGUUUUGUACCACAAACUAUAAAAAUAGAAGCUCUUUCUGAUGGUGAUGAUGAUUAUUCUUUGAAUAAUGAUCUUCACAGUGGAGGAGAGUGGAACAGUGAUAUUCUCGAAUUGAAUGACUUGGGGAAAGCCAUCCAAUCACAGAGCAGUCUAUCUGAUCAGGAAAAUCAGUCAGGUGAUCUCAACACUCAGUCAUGUGAUCAAAAGUCAGUACAAUCAUUGGCAGAAGUAGCAGCAGGAGGCAACCAGACUCCUAAGCAAUCAGGUGAUCUCAACACUCAGUCAUGUGAUCAACAGUCAGAACAAUCAUUAGCAGAAGUAACAGCAGUAGGCAACCAGACUCCUAAACAAUCAGGUGAUCUCAACACUCAGUCAUGUGAUCAAAAGUCAGAACAAUCAUUGGCAGAAUUAGCAGCAGGUUGCAACCACACUCCUAAGAAAUCAGGUGAUCUCAACACUCGGUCAUGUGAUCAAAAGUCAGAACAAUCAGAAGUAGCAGCAGGAGGCAACCACACUCCUAAGCAAUCAGGUGAUCUCAACACUCAGUCAUGUGAUCAAAAGUCAGAACAGUCAUUGGCAGAAAAAGCUCCAGCUAGUCUGACUUCUACGAAAUCACAUGAUCUCAACAAUCAGUCAUGUGAUCUCAACAGUCCAUCAGGUGAUCCAGACAUUCAGUCAUGUGAUCAGAGUUCAGAACAAACCUUGACAGAAGUAGGUCCAGCAAGAAACCAGAUUCCUGAGAAACCUCAAUCUUGUCAGGAAGUUAGCGGGCAAUCUAAUUGGCAUGCUGAUAGAAUGUCUCAUUCUCUCUUGGGUGCAGAUGAGCUCGGCAAUAUUCCAUUUUCUACGAAAGAAGAGCCUGAAGCGGAGACGGCAGAUCGGGCUGAACAUGAUACUGGCAAUGACAAUGAUCAAGAGAAACUAUGGUGUAUUUGCAGACAGCCUUAUGAUGAAAGGUUCAUGAUAUGCUGUGAUAAAUGUGAAGAUUGGUUUCAUGGCAAAUGUGUAAACGUCACCAAGAAAGAAGGAAAGCGCAUGGAAAGGGAGAAUAUUAGCUGGAUGUGUCCAAAGUGUACUGAUUCUGGAAUCUAUAGAUGCAAGUAUUGUGGAUCACUCUAUGCCAUUCCUCUUGUCUUAGCAAGGCAUCUCAAGUACAAACAUGGGUUGUCCGGCGUUUUCAUAUUAGAAGUUGGAUCAAGGGGAGACAUUCUAAAAUAUAGUGGAGCAAUACAGGAAACCUCUGACAAUAUUAAUGAACAUGAGGUUGAUGACAUCAGAACUUUGAAAUCAGAAACACCAAACCACAAUAUGCCACAGACUACAUCACAUGAAUUAAGGUACCUUGUAAGACGCAAGCAAGUCCGAAGACGUAACCAGCCCUGUAAAGUGAACAUAUGCAGUAAGGCUUUUAGUCAUGGUAAGAGGCUCACAAAACACAAACGAAUCCAUCGGGGCAAAAAACCUUAUCAUAAGGCAUCAAGUAAUAACAGUUCUUCAAAAGGUCAUAAAAAAAUGAAAACACAAGAAAAGCCUUAUGCCUGUGAUGAAUGUGGUAAGGCAUUUAGUGCAAGAAGUAAACUCAAAGUCCAUAAACGAACUCAUACAGGUGAAAAACCUUAUGCAUGUGAUGAAUGUGGUAAAGCAUUUAAUGAAAAAUGGACACUCAAAUUACAUAAACGAACUCAUACAGGUGAAAAACCUUAUGCAUGUGAUGAAUGUGGUAAGACAUUUAAUCAAAAAAGUUCCCUCACAAAUCAUAAACGAACUCACACAGGUGAAAAACCUUAUGAAUGUGAUCAGUGUGGUAAGGCAUUUACGAGUAGAAGUUCCUUAACAUAUCAUAAACUAGUUCAUACUGAGAAGAAGCCUUAUGAAUGUGACCAAUGUGGAAAGGGCUUUAUUUCUGGUACUGCAUUAAAAAAACAUACUAGAAUCCACACAGGUGAAAGGCCUUUUGAAUGUGAAGAAUGUGGUAAGGCAUUUAGGGAUGCUAGUUAUUUAAAAAAACAUAAACUAAUGCAUUCAGGUGAAAAGCCUUAUGUAUGUGUUCAGUGUGGUAAGGCCUUUGUUUGUAGUUCUACAUUUAAAAUACACACUAGAAUCCACACAGGUGAAAGGCCUUUUGAAUGUAAAAAAUGUGGAAAGGCAUUUAGGGGUGCUAGUCAUUUAAAAAUACAUGAACAAAUCCAUACAGGUGAGAAACCCUAUAUUUGUGAUCAGUGUGGUAAGGCCUUUAGUAAAAAACAAACUCUCAAAUAUCAUAAACUAACCCAUAUGGAUGAAAAGCCGUAUGUAUGUGAUCAGUGUGGUAAAGCGUUUAGUUGUGGUAAGGCAUUUAAAAAACACACUAGAAUCCACACAAGUGAAAGGCCUUUUAAAUGUGAAGAAUGUGGUAAGGCAUUUAUUGACAGUUGCGCUUUAAAAAAGCAUAAACAGAUCCAUACAGAUGAGAAGCCAUAUAAUUGUGAUCAGUGUGGUAUGGAAUUUCGUAGAAAACAGGCUUUAAGAACUCAUAAACUUAUCCACACGGGUGAGACACCAUACGCGUGUGAUCAUUGUGGCAAAGCAUUUCGUUGUAAAUGGGUUCUAAAAGAUCAUAAACAAAUCCAUACAGGUGAGAAGCCCUUUCUUUGUGAUCAGUGUGGUAAGGCCUAUAGUUGUGGUACUGCAUUUAAAAAACACACUAGAAUCCACACAGGUGAAAGGACUUUUGAAUGUGAAGAAUGUGGUAAGGCAUUUAUUGAUCGUCCCAUGUUAGAAAAGCAUAAACUGAUCCAUACAGGUAAGAAUCCAUAUGUUUGUGAUCAGUGUGGUAAGGAAUUUCGUAGUAAACAGGGUUUUAGCUGUCAUAAACUUAUCCACACAGGUGAGACACCCUAUGCAUGUGAUCAGUGUGGCAAAGCAUUUCAUUGUAAACGGGUUCUAAAAAGACAUAAAAAAAUCCAUACACGUGAGAAGCGCUUUAUUUGUGAUCAGUGUGGUAAGGCCUUUAGUCAAAGACAAAAUCUCAAAAAACAUGUACUAACCCAUACCGAUGAAAAGCCCUAUGUAUGUGAUCAGUGUGGUAAAGCAUUUUCUAUUAUACAUUAUUUGACGAGUCACAAACGAAUCCAUCUCAAUGAGAAGCCUUACAAAUGUGAUGAUUGUGGCAAGACCUUUAAUUUUCAAAGAGAAUUGAAAGUACAUUAUAGAAUCCAUACAGGUGAGAAGCCACACAUUUGUUAGAAAUGUGGUAAGGGAUUUCGUGUUAUUGGUUAUCUAACUAAACAUAUGAAACAAGUCCAAAAAGGUUUGGAGCCUUCAUUUGGUAAGGCAUUUAAUCAAAAUGGUGCUCUGUAACAAAUCCACACAGGUGAGAAGCCAUACAUUUAUGAUCAGUGUGGUAAGGCAUUUCGUCAAAUUACUGCUGUAACAACUCAUGAAACGAACCCUUGUAGGUGGAAAGCCUCAAUUUUGUAAGGCAUUUAAUGAAACUAGUGCUCUCUUGUAAUACCAAUUGAUAUUAAGAACAACAAUUGAUUAUUACUCAUUUAUGGC